AUGCGGACGUCUGCUGCUUUUCCUCUCCCUCCUGCUGCUGAGCGGCUCCGCGGAGAGAGCCGGCGGACGGCCCGGGCGCGAAGGGCUAAGGACGGGAAGGACGGUGACGGCGCAGUGGCUUUCUCAAGGCCGAAUCAAGAGGGAGGCGGAGACCUUGACACAGGUCAGAUAUCUCAUCAAUCUUUUUCUGACCUUUGUUUCACUGACACUGACCCCACCACAUCAAAAGCAGCUAAUCACUACAACUACCUUGCCUUUGGCCACAUAGCAAACUGUUAUAGUUUGACCAGAUAUGUUUCUGGUAGCAAGACUAAAAGUCUGUUAGUGCCUACAGUGCUUAUUAUGUUCAAAUUAGUGUUCUGGUGAGGAAUAUUUGUCUUUUUCUCCGGGGUUUAUCACAAGACUCUUUCUCAGAGGACUCUUUAAUCCUCCCGCUAUACAUUCAAACAGCUUUAUUGAUGGGUAUGGUUCUAGCGAAAAAACUUAUUCUCAAGCAUUGGAAAGCAUCAAAUCCACCUUGUUUCAGAAACUGGCUAAAUUAACUUGUGUCGGUGAUCCAUAUGGAGAAAAUGCGGACCAAGUAUUCAAAACAUCAGGAUAAAUGAAAAUAAUCUUUUCCCUUUUUGCAAUAUCUGGAGGCAACUUGAUUAUAUUUGUAUUUAUACUUGUACUUAUGCACUGAUUGUUUUUACCUGUUUCUGUUUUGUUACUGUAUUCAUACUACUAGGCAUUUAUGGGUUUUAGUCUCCUGGACUAGUGUUUAAGAUGAACUGGACAUACUUGUACCUCUUCCCCCGUGUGUGUAUGGGUAUGCAUGUGUGUAUGUUUUGGUUGGGUUUUGGGUGUUGACUUUUGCAUUUUGUUUAUAUGCUAUCCAAAAAAUUCCCAUAAAAAGAAUCUUAAAAAAAGAAAGAAAAAAAAGUUAACAGAACCUCAGAAAACACGCUUUGUCACAUCUAUUCUGGUCUUCUUCUACCUGUAUCGUAAGGGAACUCUUGACUAUUUGAUGAGAUUAUCGAUAUGGAAGCGUUUUACUCUCCUUGUUUUCAGCCACCGUAUCCUCCACAGCCUCCUCACUGGUCCACAUGCAGUUCCCGGUGCACUCUCACAGAGUUGGUUCACUUGUUUGCUUUUCCAUGGGCUAGAGAGCCACCAUUGAGCCAGGUCAUUACAUCACUGUCCGUCUGUAUUUGUCUCUGCAUUCCCAGCAGCCCUAGAGCAUUGCCCAGCAUCAACAAUGGUGAGCCUCACUGUCCGUUUCUCUCUUUGCUCCGUUACUCAGAUGCAUCCUAAGGUAACAAUAUUUACCACAAUUUAUCGUAACAGGAAUCAGUUGUCUGUACUACAGACACAAUUAGGCCACCCUUAAUAGUACAGAUUUUAGUACCCAACCCAAGGGGCCAGCCUAGAACUUUUCCAAAUGGUUUAGAAUGAUGUCUCAAAGUUUAGGUUGGCUUUGUUGGUCAUGAUAAUCCUUCCCCAGUCUUCUGAUAAUCUUCCUCAUUUUCGCUAUGUUCAGGGAAAGGUUGUUGGUCUUGCACUAUGCUGCUGGUAGACCGCUUCUUCUUCGGGGCCGAUAUCCAAUACUAAAAUCGGAUCGGUGCAUCCCUAUUUAAGAGUCAAACUAAAGAGGCCAAACCUCCCAAAUUAGAAUUUUUGCUUGAAUACCAGGAUCAGUUCCAAGAAAUGUGGCUAGAUUGAUAUAAUAUUUAGCCCAAAAAAACUUUAAAACCGGAACAAUCACCACUUACUGCUGCCAAAUUAAAAUCUCCCCACUAUCGAAUAAAAGCGUAAAAUGCCCAAAAUGAUAUUAAAAAAAUAGAUUAAUAAAGUGAGAAUUAUGUGAUCAAAUAUGUUAAUUACAAAUCUGUCCAGACCAAUUGAUAUCUGAUAGGUUAAGAAACUUGGUACUACAAACACAUUUUAGUUAUAACAAAAAAGUAUUGAGGUUUAAUAGCCAGUUGUACAGUUUGUUAAGUACAUAUUCUGCAUCCAGGGCAUACAGCACAGCAAUAAAUCUUUCUUACCUGUGCUAGAUAGUAGAUAUUACCAACUGCCACAGUACAGUCGGCCAUUUCAGUGAUUCUAACCUUGGUCUUUGUUAAAUUAACGUUCCAAAAACUAAAGAUAUUCAGUUCACAAGUAAUUAAAUGCAAUGAAAUUGCCAUCAAAUUUUCUGAUUUUCUGUCAAUUGACUAACCAAUGAAUGGAAAGAUUAGUAAAACGCCAAACCAACAUCUCCAUUGCUAAUAGAUUAGAUUCAGCCUCCAGGUGUAUAUUUACUGUAGUUUUGUGCAUGCAGUUCUGCAGUGCUAUAGAUGAGGAUACAAGAUUCAAAAUCAAAGGACUUAAUAUGAGGUUUUGUUUUAAAACUUCUGGUUGUGUGAUACCUUAUGUUCCUUCCUUAUCAGACCCAAAUUUUAUAUUGUGAAACAGAUUUGCUGUGUCCCCAGAAUCCCUAUUGAUAAAGUGAGUUGAAGUGAGUUGGCAAAUAUAAUAAAAUAAGAUCCGGGUUUAAGUCCUUGAUUUACAGAAAUGUUUGGGGAAAUAAAACACCUCUUUUUUGUCAGUUUAAUCCCAUUUCAUAAUUGUUGGCCGGACACAGGGAGGACAGUGUUGAAGCACAAACCUGUUAGUGUUUAAGUAUCGCAGCACAUCAAGCCAUUGUCGGUUCUUCCUCAUUUCCUUGUGAUUCACAGAUGAUUCGCUGCCUGGCUCAGGCCAGCUCCCCUGAUGGGUACCAUGUAAUUGACGAUAAUCACUUGAGGCGUCUGAAGUGCCUCUCGUGCAUCUUAAUGCUUACAAUAAUGGGGAGGUGAAGCCCUGAAGAGAAACAUAAGCACGCAGAAUGAUUCAGAGCCAUACAUUCAUCUGCAUACCAGAUUUCUCAUGCUAACCGGCAUGCUAAGGAGUGGAUAUUGAAGCUUGACUGGCCAGUAAAAGCAUUAGUUGAAAUAAAGAGGGUAAUGGUCAGUACAGGAGAGAUCAAUUGGACUAGAAAGCAAGGCUGAGGAUUAAAGGUGGUUGGUGGCACAUCUGAUAUUGCACUUGGUUGUACUUAAGACUUCUCCUUUGCAUGACGAGAAGGUUUUGAAAUAACUACUCAACACUCCGAUUGCAAUGUUCUAGGGCAGUUUAAAGGGUUCAGUAUGCCUGAAACAAUCUAGUUUGUACAACACGGGUGUCCAAUCUUAUCUAAAGCUUUUAACCAUACCUACUUUUACACCUCUACAAACCUGGCGUGUGUCGAGUGACAAUCCUUCAAAUUCACACCAUUGGCAAGGCAAAUAUGUAAGUUACUUUCCUGGCAGAUUACUUUAUAAUGAAAACGGGAAUGUUCUCCCACAAGAUCUUGAUUGUGAACUACUGUCUGAUAAUGUUAUGAAAUGCAUUACAGUAAUUACACAUCUAAUAAGCCUUCAAACUCAAGGAUGCAAUAGUUACGUCCGCUAUAGCAUUUCACUAUCUCACCAGUACCUUUAACAGCAUUCCCCGACCAACCUAAGCUCUAGUUUUUUCUUGAAAUUUGUCCACAUUGACCAACGAGAUCUAUAGAAGAUGUUUGAGAAGCAUCCAUGUUUUAGAAUGUUUACUUCUUUACAGCAACAUCCAUAUUUAAAUGGAUGUCAUAAAUGUCAUGGCUUCAAUGUGGUGUUCUAUCAGAAUUGGCUUUAUUGGCCAAGCAUGUGAACACACACAAGGAAUCUGAUUCUGUUUUUGUGAAGGUGGUGCAGGAACAGGACGCAGAUGCAGUGUGCAAUACAAAAAAAUAUUUUAAUUAAAGUGAAAACAAAACAGACUUGUAGUCUCAAAAAGUCCAAAUAACUAAAUCACUGGAGAUAUAAAACAAAACAAAAUCACAGGACAGGUAACAAACAGGAUGAACUGACAGAGGACUGGGAGCACAGAGACUAAAUACCAAGCCCCGGGUGUUUCUCUCAGCCUUGAAGCAAAUAAAUCCUCUUGUCCACUUGUGGUUACUGCAGUGAAAAAUACAAAGCGGCCCAAAAAGUAUUUUUCCCAUAGACUGCAAUAGUUAAAGAGUCGCCUGUAAAACAGGUUGCUGCUGGUGCUGGUGCACCCAUAUGAAAAAGUAAGGCGCACCAGUGCAACCAAUGUAAAAUGUUUGUCUGGAGCCCUGACUAGACCGCUUGUUUUUCACUGGAAGUUAUUCACUGGCCUCACCAGUCACUUAUUUUUUACUGGAAAGGGUUUAAAUUUAGGCUAACAAAGCGAGGACGUUAAAAGCUGUAACCAGCAAAUCCCCUGAACCCAAUGAAAAGCAGGAUCAAUAGGUAUCAAGAGGGGUGACUAUGUCUCAGGAGUGGAGGUGGAGUCGGUCAUCCACUUAUUGGAAGGCUGCUGGUUUUCGAUCCGGCUCAAGUCUGCAUUGCAAUGUCCUUGGGCAAGACACUGAACUGCUCCUGAUGGCUGUGCUGGCAGUGUGUGAAACGGAUGUGUAAGUGACAGAGAAUUGCUAGGCUAUAUAUUGAAGUGCUGGGUGAAUGUGACUUAGUAGACUUAGUAAAGGGCUUUGAUUGGCCAUUAAAAUCAAAAAGCACUAUGCUUUUACACAGUACAGAAAUUAAAUGAAACCACUGAAUGUAAU
ensembl:lncRNA